GACGAACGCUGGCGGCGUGCUUAACACAUGCAAGUCGAACGGAAAGGCCCUGCUUUUGUUGGGUGCUCGUGUGGCGCACGGGUGAGUAACACGUGAGUAACCUGCCCUUGACUGUCGGAUAACUUCAGGAAACUGGGGCUAAUACCGGAUAUGAGCUCCUGCUGCGUGGUGGUGGUUGGAAAGAUUCGGCGGUUGGGGAUCGACUCGCGGCUUAUCCGCUACUUGGUCGAGUAGUUGCUUACGAAGGUUUUGACGGGUAGCCCGCCUGAGAGAGUGAACGGGCUCAAUGGGACUGAGAUACGGCCCAGAAUCCUACGGGAGGCAGCAGUGGAGAGUAUUGCGCAAUGAGCGGAAGCCAGAUGCAACAGCGCCGCGUGCGGGAAGACGGCCUUCGGGUUGUAAACCGCUUUCGACUGUGAUGAAGCGUUAGUGACGGUAAUGGGUAAAGAAGCACCGGCUAACUACGUG
rnacentral:rRNA from 1 species